UGGUGUUUUAAGACCUUGGAUGCUCUUGU
rnacentral:piRNA from 1 species